UUGAAGAGAUUAUCUCUCCAUCCAAUCUUAACAGUUAGUUUAGGUCAACUCGUCCUCGACCUCGACUCUGUCACUCGAGUCCUCGAACUCGAUUCUCUCUCGCCGUCUCGCGUGCGUCGUCCCCUCCCCUCCACGGUUUCAACCAGGCACCCGCACCACCCAUCUUCUCGAUUGUGGUUGGUAUCAAUUAAUCACUUAAUCAUCUCCUAAUUUUGCAUCAUUCUUUCUGGUUUGCUGCAUAAAACUAUUGGUAGAAAUGUUGCUACAAGCUCUGCGCCUCUCCGACUCACGGCCUCAUCUGCGUCGGUAAACGGUUCAUCGCCCCCUCUUAGCUUCGCGAGGCUUCUGCCUCUUCUGGCCUUAUCCAGUACCGGUCCUGGUCCAAGAUAUCUAGACUUGGGCAAUCAUUCAGCAUGGCACUAAGAGAAAGGGGCUAUACUAUGUUGACGAUGUGGCAUCCGGUUGAGUACAUCAAGUUUGCAGUCUAGAUAACCUUGCUAUCUUUCAUACUUUAAUUGCGCCUACAACUCGCGUGCAAAGCGAAUAAGCCGGUAGAUGUUUAUUUAGCCUCAAGUAAAAUACGUUUUCUCAAUAAACUUCAAACUAAAAGUGAAGGUUAUAUCAAAUUAUCUGCAUUUGGAAACUACAUGCCUUAAGGAUGAACCUGAUACAUCUUAUACAAGUGGGCAAGUGUAUACUCAUCAUAAGAGUUUCCAAUAUAGUUACAACAGUACCGAAUGUUGGAGCCUUUAUUUUUUUUGUGGUUCUAACCUACUACCUUAACGAC